rnacentral:lncRNA from 1 species
AGAUGUAUUUAUUAGAAGUCCUGAUAGUACUCGAAGGGCAUAACUUAACUACAAUAAUUGGAAGGGUGAAGCCUUUCCAUAAGAGAAAUAUAAAAACCUUCUAAGCUUCAAGUCCUCCACAUGAAGUAACUAACCCAAAGAUAAGGGAAUAAAACUUCUCCUACAAAAACAACAAGGGAUAAAACCCUGAGUACGCAAUUACUGAGCAAGACUUACCCGACAAAGGAAAAGACUCUCCAGGGUAUGCUGGCUUUUGGGAAUCAAGGUAACGCUCAUCAAAGUUCAAGGACUCAUUUUGCAGAAAAGCUUACUAGAAGUGGGUCCUUAAGCCAAGUUUUAUUUCACAAGUUAGUUUAUUACCUGAAUCUAGCAUUUUCUUAAUCUAGGUCAUUCACUUGACCUACACUAGGUUGCUUUUAAUCAAAACUUUGUUAUACUUGUUAACUAUGUUGUAGGUCGAAGAUCUAGUCUUCAUAACUGAGAAGUAACGGCGAUCCGAAUCGAUUAAUACCCAUCUAGGGAUCUCCAACCACACGACAUUUGCUUCCCUUAAUUCUUUUGCACAUAUCUACCAUUCCCACGGAUCCUCCAUCACAUGAACUGUUGGGGGUGUGCUUCGUCGCCGAAGGUCCCGUAAGAAGAAACACCUUCGGAAGAUCAACACAGAAGCAAAGCCGAAGCUACCAUCCGGGGAGCUUCGGCAUAGUGACACGCCUUGAGACAAGGGUGGCACCGACUUAAAGAUGAAAAGACCGAUUGUCCCAUGAUAAUUUGUGUCAUGAUUGUAAUCAUUUGUAAAGGACAUGAAUGUAAAUCCACACAGGUUGCGUUCUGUGCCUAUAAAUAGAUGAACAUUACCCCCGUAUUGUUCACGCUGACUUGUAUUCACUCGCGCGUCACACUUGGAUCUUUACCUUCUGUCAAGCCGAAGGUACAAAUGAAAUUCAAUAUUGUUUAUAUUCAUAUAUGAUUAAAUAACAUUGAAUGUAUAUUAGAACAUCAUUCUAUUAUUCAUGUUGUUUCCCAUAUUUCAUAUGUUUCGUCUCUCAUCUGAGUAUGCUAUGAUCAUGAAGGUAUGUCCUUCAUGACCUUUGUCCGAAGAUCGUUAUAUCCUCAGGGAAAUAAUGCUUCCAAGGACGAAGGGCCUUAACCUUUAACAUCUUGUGUUGCCUUGUUCUUAAUUCAUAGCAUUUGAGAACAAGUCCCCAACAUUGGCACCCACCUCCGGUGAACUCACUUCCACUGAUUGAGCUGAUGGCUUCGUUCAACAACCAAGCUGAAGUAUCUUCGGCUACGAAGCUGCUGGUGCUUCCAAUAACAGGCGGUUCAGGUUCAGAGCCGGCUAACAAGAAGCAGAAGAAGGAAGCACAUAGAAGGGUGUAGCAUGUUGGGGUGCAGGGACCCUUCAUCAAGUCAAAAUGGUCCCACAUCCCAAUCACCUUCUCCCAGGAGGACCUUCAGCUCAAAGAUUACCCUCAUAAUGAUGCUAUGGUAAUAUCUUGUGUCAUUAAGGGAUUUUUGGUUCAUAAUGUUCUGGUUGAUACAGGCAGUGCAGAAGGUAUCAUAUUUGCUAAGGCUUUCAGACAGAUGCAAGAACUAGAGGACAAGAUCCAUGAUGCUACACAUCCUCUAUGUGGCUUCGGAGGAAGGCAAAUUGUAGCACUUGGCAAAAUCACAAUGCCGGUAACCUUCGGCUUUGUUCACAACACAAGGACUGGACAUGUUGUGUUUGACAUUGUUGACAUGGAGUACCCCUACAAUGCAAUCAUUGGUCGUUGGACACUUAAUGCUUUCGAAGCAAUACUUCAUCCAGCAUAUCUAUGCAUGAAGAUACCUUCGGAACAAGGGUCCAUUGCUGUUCAUGGAAGUCAGGAAGCUGCCAGGAAAGCCGAAGGAAACUGGACAGAUUCAAAAGCAAUUCAUAACAUAGAUGGAGUUGAAGCCUAUGAACAGUACAAAUACAAAAGAGAGAAGGCUGCUUCAGUGGAUCAGCCGAAGCCCAUGCUUCUAUGUGAAGACAUAGUAGAGCAAAAAGUAUUGCUGGGGUCUCAGCUGUUUGAAGAGCAAGAGAAAACUUUGAUAAGAUUUUUAUUCAACAAUAAAGAUGUCUUUGCUUGGUCAGCCAAUGAUCUCUGCGGUGUCAACAGAGAUGUCAUUGAACAUUCACUCAAUGUGGACCCAUCCUUCAGGCCAAGAAAGCAAAGGCUUCAGAAAAUGUCUAAUGAUAAAGCCGAAGGUGCUCGCAAUGAAGUGAAAAGGCUUCUCAGUGCUGGUGUUAUCAGAGAGGUAAGAUACCCAGAAUGGUUAGCCAAUACUGUCAUGGUGAAGAAGGCCAAUGGCAAAUGGAAAAUGUGCAUUGAUUUCACAGAUCUUAACAAGGCAUGCCCAAAAGAUGAAUUCCCGCUACCAAGAAUAGACUCUCUUGUAGAUGCAGCAGCUUCUUCAGAGCUCAUGAGUCUAUUAGAUUGUUAUUCAGGCUAUCAUCAAAUCUGGAUGAAGAAGGAAGAUGAGCCGAAGACUAGCUUCAUAACUCCCAGUGGCACUUAUUGCUAUCUUCGGAUGCCUGAGGGACUCAAGAAUGCUGGAGGAAGCUUCAGCAUAAUGACAGCCAAGGUCCUUCAUUCCCAGAUAGGCAGAAAUGUGUUGACUUAUGUUGAUGAUAUCAUAGUGAAAAGCACAAAGCAAAAAAAUCACAUUGCUGAUUUGCAAGAAACAUUUGCCAAUUUCAGGCAAGCUGGCCUGAAACUAAAUCCAGAAAAAUAUGUUUUUGGAGUGAAGAAUGGCAAGUUCCUUGGCUGUCUGGUGUCGACGAAAGGAAUUGAAGCUAACCCAAGCAAGAUCGAAGCUAUCCUUCGGAUGGAGCCACCAAGCACGAAGAAAAGGGGCUCAAUGACUGGCAGGAAGAUUAGCAUCAUUAAACAGAUUCAUAUCCAGAUCAGCGGAAAGAAGUCUGCCAUUUUUUAAAAUACUGAAGUCAGUCGAAGUCUUUCAAUGGGGCCCGGCACAACAAAAAGCUUUUGAAGAGUUGAAACAAUAUUUGAUUGAUUUAACAACAUUAACUCCACCCGCGCCAAGGGCUCCAUUGCUCUUAUAUGUGGCAGCUUCGCAUUCUGCAGUGAGUGCGGCACUGGUAUAGGAGAAGCUAGAUGGUCAGGCUAAAAAGCAAGCUCUAGUAUACUUUGUCUCUGAAGUUUUAAGUCCAUCAAAGAAAAAUUACACAGAAUUGGAGAAGGUAUUAUAUGCUGUGUUAAUGGCCUCUAGAAAGCUUCAGCAUUAUUUUCAAGCAUACCACAUAAUUGUUCCUUCGUCACAACCUCUAAAGGAUAUCAUGAGGAACAGAGAGGCUACUGGAAGGAUUGGAAAAUGGUCUGCAGAGAUUAAUGAAUUCACCAUUGAUUAUGUGCAUAGAUCUUCAAUUCAGUCCCAAGCGUUAGCAGACUUCAUUGCUGACUGGACGCCAGGGGCUCAGGAAGGAGAGAUAAAUAAAGAUGCUGAAGCUUGGACAAUGUUCUACGAUGGUUCUUGGGGAACCUUCGGCGCAGGAGCAACUGCUGUUCUAGUAGCAACUUCGAAAGUCAGAACAUGUUAUGCAGCCAAGCUAGAUUUUAGUUGUACAAAUAAUAUUGUCGAGUACGAAGCACUCUUGUUAAGGCUUCGGAAGUUAAGGGCAAUGGGAAUAAGAAGGGCUAUUCUGAAAACUGAUUCUCAAGUCAUUUCUGGCCAUGUAGAUAAAAGUAGCAAGGCAAGAGACCCGAAGCUUGAAAAAUAUCUAGAUACAGUUCGAAGGUUGGAGGCUUCUUUCGAAGGUUUCUCUGUCAAGAACAUUCCAAGAGGCAAAAAUGAGCAUGCAGAUCUACUAGCCAAAUCAGCGGCUCAGGGGCUCCCUCUACCUUCGGAUGUAUUUUUUGAAACAAUAAAAGCACCUUCGGUUGAACUCAUGGAGAGAGCAGUACUCUCCAUUUCUCCAAUACACAAUGAAGAUUGGAGGACUGAAAUCAUAUCUUUUCUCCAGGGCAACUGCCUCUCGGACGACAAAGUUUAUAAUAAAAAAUGGAAGCAAGAACAAGACCGUAUAUCAUAAUAGAAGGAGAAUUAUACAAACAUGGAGUUUGCUCCCCCCUUCUCAAGUGUUUAUCCAGAACCGAAGGUAUAGAACUAAUGAAGGAGAUACAUGCAGGAUUGUGUGGAUCUCAUAUUGGGUCUAGACCUUUGCUGGGAAAGGUUUUUAGACAGGGAUUCUACUGGCCGAAGGCAGCUUCGGAUGCAGCAGAUCUGGUCCAAAAGUGCGAAAAUUGUCAAAAAUGUGCAAGAGACCAAAAACAACCUUCGUCAUUAACUCAGUUAAUACAACCAACCUGGCCAUUGCAAAGAUGGGGCCUGGACUUGUUAGGCCCACUUCCACCAGCACAAGGUAAUUUGAAAUAUAUCGUGGUGGCUGUAGAAUAUUUUUCUAAGUGGAUUGAAGCAAAGCCUUUGGCUAUAAUAACCUCGGUUACAGUCUAGAAAUUCUUCUAGCAAAAUAUGGUUUGUCGCUUCGGCGUGCCGAAGGCUAUAACUGUGGACAAUGGAACACAGUUUGAUGCCGAAACUUUCAAAGAUUUCAGCAACCAGAUUGGCAUGAAGAUUCAUUUUGCAUCAGGUAGGCACCUGGAGUCAAACAGGCUGGUCGAAAGAGCAAAUGGUAUUAUAAUGACGGGAAUAAUGAAGUUAAUCUUCAAUCAACCCAGAGGAAAGUGGCCAGAUGAGUUGAUUAAAGUGGUGUGGAGCCACAAUACAACUAUAUCAAGGUCAACAAGUUUUACACCGUUUAAGUUAUUGUUUGGUGAUGAAGCUAUAACCCAGAAGAAGCUAAGGCAGGGUCAAUUAGAACAGUAGCUUCGGCAGAGGACGAUGCUGAUUAUUCUAUGGCAAAAGAUCCUAUAGAAGGGACCAGACUUCAGCUGUGGAGAAUAUCAAUAAAUAUAAAGCCGAAACAAUAAAAUGGCAUGAAAGAAAAGUUCGACUAAAAAACAUUAAGCCAGGGCAUUUGGUACUUCGGAGAGUGGCCAAUCCAGACACAGUAGGCAAGCUACAGCUGAAGUGGGAAAUACCCUUUCUGGUGGUAUCUUCGUCAAGACCCGGUUUUUACAGAUUGAACGAUAUGGACGGAAACGACAUUCCUAGAUAUUGGAAUGCGGAUGAGCUUCGAUGAUACUAUAUGUAACUUGAUGUAAUCUUUUUCAUUUUUCCUAUGGCACCCUUUUCCCUUCCGAAGGGGGAGAAAGGUUUUUAAUGGGGCCAUAGUUUGUAAUUUUUCCUUUUUUAUCCAGCUCUACGAGAGCAAAAUCCCCCAAAAUAUGUAAAAUGUAAAAUUUGAGCAUGCACCAUUGAGUGCAAAAAAAGAAAAAAAUAGGGAGAAGCUCGAAAGUCGUCCCUAAGGGGAUGCAGAGCACGACGAAGCUACACAAAGCCGUUCCCAAGGGAGCGCAGCGUAAAUUUUCUACUCAAAAGUCAUUCCUAAGGAAAUGCAGAGCCAAAUACCGUCGAAAUAGUAGGCGAAGAAGUUCAAAAUACGUUCCUAAGGGAAUGCAGAACUUACACCGAAAAGUCAACGGUGAUACCGCCGAAAUAGAAGGCAAAGAAGUUCAAAAGACGUUCCUAAGGGGAUGCAGAACUUACACCGAAAAAUAAGCGGUGCAGACGAAAAAUAAACGGCAAAGAGAUUUCAGCUAUUCCUAAGGGAAUGAAGAGUUUUGAUGUGGCUUCGUAAGCAUGUGUCCGGACAUUCAUUUGCACAAUACAUCACAUCAUUCAUUGCAUUCAUAUACAUUCAUUUAGACAUACAUAGGAUCAUCAUCAUCAUAUCAUACAAAUACAGACAGUUGCUUCGGCUCUAAUGAUAAGGCUUUGGUGAAAGAAAAAGAAACAGAUUUAUGCUUCGUUGUGUACGAAAAGAAGGGAAGGUGUUUUUCGCCUUCGGCUCAAAAAAUACAAGUUUCGUUCACAUCAAAGCAGUUCAUACAUGGACGGAAAGGUAAAAAUAUAUUACAAGGUAUGAAUAAAUUUACAGAGUACUAUCUAAUUCUUAAAUUACAAUAUUCUUUACAAGGAUAAUUCAAAAGUUUCUCUAAAGUUUUUUCAUAGCAAUGUCUUCGGCUUUAUCACCAUCCGCUAAGCUUCGGAUCAUCCACCAAGCUUCGGAUCAUUGCCCUUCGGCUUCAUCAUCCUGUACAAAAUAAAGCGUUAUAAGGUAAAUUCAAGUUUCAAGGAAAAGGUAAGCACAAGGUAUAAGUUUAUUACCGGUUUGAGGUGACUUCGAGCUUCGUCACUAGCCAAGCUUCAUCCACCCUUCGCCCAAAUUUGAGUUACGAAUCUGUUCCCAAUGCUUCGGGCCAGGCCAGGGAUGUCAUUCAAGUCCACUGGUGAUAAGCUGAUGUUUGGCAUGUUUACAAUAUUCCUGUGCGUGCAACCAGCCUUCAUAAAAGCAAUAGUUGUGCCACGAGAAGCUAGCAGAGCGCCAAAGUCACCAUGCCCAACUAUGACUUCAUCGAGAGCAUCAACUUCCCCUUCAAUAUGAUCGAGGGUGCCUGGUAGGUCUUCAGCUGAAGGUUUAAACUUUUCAGAGCUGGCUCCAACAGAGUUGAAGACCUGCUUCAGUCGUUGCACGCAACUGUUGCCGAAGCUCAUACAUUUAUCUUGAAGUUCCUUCAAUGACUUUUGCAAGUUCGAACUUUUUGCAACUUCAGCUUCAAGCUUUGCAUCAAAAUAUUUCUUCUCUUGUUCGAAGCUUUUUGAUUUCAUGGAGAGUUCACUGUUUAAUCUAGCAAUCUCGGCUUGGGCUUCUGCCAGCGAACCCUCCAUUGUUUGGAUCACGAAAUCCUUCUUCUCCAGAGCAGCUUCAUGAUCUUUAAUUUUGCCCUCUAAGCCCUCAAUUAUAAUCUCAUUUUUCUUGUCCUCGAGGUCUUGUUGCAUCCUCAAGGUUUUACUUAGUAGUAGACUCUGAAAAAAUAGCCUUCGUCAGAAGUAACCUUCAUCUCGAAAACAGCAAAAAAGUUAGGGUAAGAGCUUUACCUUAAAAUUAGCAUAAAACAAGCUACCAACGAUAUGUUGCCGACGAAAUCUACUAAGUUCGGCCUCAAGCUUCAGAAAGCCAACACUCUUCGAUAGAGUACCGAUAACCUUCGCUCCAGUCCUGUCCCAGAGGCAUCCUAAGCUCUCUUCGUCAACGCCACCGAAGAGAAAUGCCCCUGGUUGAUAGCCGCAUGAUAUUGCAUAAUCCCUCAGCUCUUCCUUCUCAGCCUUAGACAACAUUUGACCAAGUAUGUUUUGAAAAUUAAAAUCUUUUUCCUCCAAAGUAUCUUCGGUAAUCUCCUUCUCUUUCCCGGGCACUGGGGCCAGGGUCUCUUCGGAAGCUGUAGCAGCUUCUUCCGCGACCAUGUUCAAAAGCAUCUUAUCAAUAUCAGUAAAAGUGCCCUCCAUAUUUGUAUCUUCGGCCGUCUCAGCUUCGGUAGUUACAGCUUCGGCGGGGGCAGCCUCGGUAGCUGCAGUGUCUUCGGUAGCCGGUGUUUUUGACGCCGAGGCCGACCGUGGCGUUUCUUCAAUAGCAUCAAUAACAGUAAUGAUCCUUCGCCUUUUUUCAGCAGGCUUCUUGAUUGUCGCAGGCUCCUCCUUCUUCUGUAAAAGCUUCAUCAGUUGUGGCCCUAGUGGACUUAGCUUGAGAGGUAAAGAUUCGGUCAGUACCUUUAAAAUUUCCUCCACGUCAGCAGCGGGUGGCGUUGAAGGAAUUUCUUCCUCUAUAUCAGUUGCUUUUGGCUUCGCAACCGAAGCUUUUCUUUUCUUCGGAACAGCUGCCUUCGGCUUAGGGCUCGAUUUUUUCUUUUUUAAAGCUUUCUCAUCUUCUUCUAUCAUUCUAGCAGCUUGCUCUUCAUAACACUGACAAUUCUUUUUUACUUUGGCCCUUCGGCACCCUUGCUUAACCGUUCAUAGUCAGGGUAUUUAAAUUUCAGGGCAUCCAUUACUCGGUUCAGCCUUCGUUUUGGUCGGGUGACGAAGGCCGCGGUGAUCAAUUGAUCUUUUUUCUUAGUAUAGGUGCCCAAAAUUUCAUUGCACAUAGCUUCAAUCAUUUCCAACCAUUCUUGGCAAGGUUCUUUGAAAUGUUUCUUGAACUUUAAUUGAUAGGGCAGUCGAACAAGUUCAUUCUUCUUCUUUUCUCCUUUAAGCUUCGGCAUAUUCCAUUCCUUUAACGUUGGAAAUACUCUAUUGGCUAAGUAUUCCUGCACCAAAUCUCUAGUACCGAUAUGUUCAGACACAACUCGGAAUUCGCCCACAGCUUCUCGGCAUCGUGACCCUUGCAGCAUGUCACACAGGGGCCUAGUUAAUCCGAAGGUUAGGUCCAGUGGGCUCUGAACUAGCUUCUCCUUCUUCUCAAUAACCUUAACAUAAACCCACUCAUUCUUCCAACCGGUUGUCCAUUUGGUGCGAUAGCUGAUCACAGGAGUCUUCAUGUCUUUGCGGUAGGCAAAGUUGUAAUAGCCGAAAUUCUCGUGUAGCCCAUCUUCUCUAGCCUUCGUCUGAUAAUGAAGCUCGUGCACCCGGCAAAAAGCUUCGGCUAGCGGGUCCACUCCUUGGCUUCGAAGAGCCCAGAUAAAGACGCUGAGCCUAACGAUAGCGUUAGGAGUCAGCUGAUGAAGAUAAAUUUCGAAAUCCUCCAAAACAUCCCCAAUCAUUUCAUACAGAGGAAACCUUAAUCCCGCUUUGAAGAAACUUCUAAAAACUACCACUUCAUCACUUUCUGGCUUCGGAAUGGUUUCUUCUCCGCCAAAACGAAUCACCUUCUUUUUGGCUUCCCCGAAGUAGCCUAGCUUUAUCAUCAUGGGCAUAACAGCCUCAGAGACAGUAGACUUUCCAAAGUCCAAGUGGCUGGGUUUGGAUGGCAUGACGGUGUUAUAAUCUAUCUCUUCUUCACCAGCAUCACCCUCUUCAAUGUCAGCCUGUUCAGCUUCGGCGGCAGGUGCACCUUCAUCAGAGGCACCCUCUGUCACGACCAGUCCCGACUGCCUCAUUACUUUGGAGAUUGGGGCAGUCUCAGCAGCUUCGGCCUCCUCUCUGUCGCGCGUAAUUCUAGCUGUUGAACGCACUCUGGCCAUUUUAUAUUGAAUUUCUCGCAGUUUUGACAAAGUUGAUGACCUUUUACAAUAUUGCCGAAGCUCCCUCUUGUGACGAAGCUAAAACAAGACGAUGAUUUGAUUGAGAAUACGAUGAAUAAGCUUCGGCUAUGGUCAAAUUUUUCAGCAGCACAACAGUGCAAUAGUAAUAAAUGUUGUGGUAACUUCACACAUACCCGUCUGUUUAUAUAGUGCUGCAGGUGGGAAGGUGAAUCGUCAAGCCGCUCGCACCCGUUGAACAGUCGCCCGCACCCACUGAACGGUGGACCACAGUGCGCGAGAAGGUGAAUCACCAGAUCGCACGUACCCGUCGUAUGGUGGGACCACCUCGUACUCGGAAUAUUUAAUCGUUUCUCGACAACGAGCUCAGGGAAGGUGUUUUUUGGACCUUCGGCAUUCCGAAGCCUAAGAGAAUUUUUCACAGGUCGAGCUCGUUACGAAAAACGAUCUGGCACCGUGAAGGGGCUACUGUUGGGGGUCUGCUUCGUCGCCGAAGGUCCCGUAAGAAGAAACACCUUCGGAAGAUCAACAUAGAAGCAAAGCCGAAGCUACCAUCUAGGGAGCUUCGGCAUAGUGACACGCCUUGAGACGAAGGGUGGCACCGACUUAAAGAUGAAAAGACUAAUUGGCCCAUGAUAAUCUGUGUCACGAUUGUAAUCAUUUGUAAAGGACAUGAAUGUAAAUCCACACAGGCUGCGUCCUGUGCCUAUAAAUAGAUGAACAGUAUCCCCAUACUGUUCACGCUGACUUGUAUUCACUCGUGCGUCACACUUGGAUCUUUACCUUCUAUCAAGCCGAAGGUACAAAUGAAAUUCAAUAUUGUUUAUAUUCAUUCAUGAUUAAAUAAUAGUGAAUGUAUAUUACAACAUCAUUCUAUUAUUCAUGUUGUUUCCCAUAUUUCAUAUGUUUCGUCUCUCAUCUGAGUAUGCUAUGAUCAUGAAGGUAUGUCCUUCAUGACCUUCGUCCGAACAUCAUUAUUUCCUCAGGGAAAUAAUGCUUCGAAGGAUGAAGGGCCUUAACCUUUAACAUCUUGUGUUGCCUUGUUCUUAAUUCAUAGCAUUUGAGAACAAGUCCCCAAUAUGAACAGGUCCACGCCACCCGAGAGCACACCACCCCUUUUAGGUGGUCCUUUGCCAGGAGGGUACGUGCCACUCUCGCCAUAUCUCCACUCCCUGUGCGCGAUUGUCUUUUCACGUAUGGAAUAGCCGGGUUCAGGCUUACCCAUGAUGAGGUAUGUGGCCAGAUAAAAGUUCCUAGAUCAGCAGGCCAACAAUCGGUACGGUCCUUAAUCGACAUAGACGGGCGACUUUUCCUGCUCAGCGUCUGGUCUCAUUUUAAACUAUUUCAAAAAUUUGGCGCCUGACAGAGGGGCCAUGCCUGGAUAAUGAAUUUAUCAACGUCUUGAUGCCUUCAUUAUCACAAGCCCAUUUUUUUUAUAAAAACAUGAGUCAUAGAUCAAAAACAUUUUUCUUAAUCUAUCAGCGUGACUAAGCAUCACUAGCUUUUAUUAAACAGGUAACAAGGUAUGGUAAUCAAGCUUUCAAGGAUGGUAAUGCAUCAAGAGUUUAACAAUCAACUCCUAUCACCUAAUGCAGCAUAUAAGUGAUAAAAUUUUGUAAACACAAGAAAGGUGGCAAAUGCACCGGGGCUUGCCUUAUUGCAGGAGAAGAUCCUAAAAUUAUUCUACUCUGGUAAGUAGUUAGAUGAAACUCCACCACUGGAUCAACAUGCACUGAAGUGAAC